AUUGAACGCUGGCGGCAUGCCUUACACAUGCAAGUCGAACGGCAGCACGGGUCUUUGCCCCUGGUGGCGAGUGGCGCACGGGUGUGUAACACAUCGGCACACGUCCUGUUGUGGGGGAACGUCCGGCGAAAGCCGGAUUUAUCCCGUAUACGCUCUACGGUUUACAGGGGGAGAUUCUCGCGCCUCGCGCUAACAGGUUGGUCGAUGGCUGAUUAGCGAGUUGGUGGGGUAAAGGCCUACCAAGGCGACGAUCAGUAACUGGUCUGAGAGGAUGACCAGCCACACUGGAACUGAGACACGGCCCAGACUCCUACGGGAGGCAGCAGUGGGGAAUGUUGGACAAUGGGCGAAAGCCUGAUCCAGCCAUGCCGCGUGUGUGAAGAAGGUCUUCGGAUUGUAAAGCACUUUUAGUCGGAAAGAAAGGCAUGAAGUUAAUACGUUCGGGUGAUGACGGUACCAAAAGAAUAAGCACCGGCUAACUACGUG
rnacentral:rRNA from 1 species